UACAGAGGUCCCAAGCGUUGUUCGGAAUUAUUGGGCGUAAAGGGUGCGUAGGUGGCAAGGUAAGUUAGAUGUGAAAUACCGGGGCUUAACUUCGGAAUUGCAUUUAAGACUGCCCUGCUCGAGCUCUAGAGAGGAGACUGGAAUUUACGGUGUAGCGGUGAAAUGCGUAGAUAUCUGGAGGAACACCGGUGGCGAAGGCGGAUCUCUGGGCCUUACCUGACGCUGAGGAGCGAAAGCAUGGGGAGCAAACAGG
rnacentral:rRNA from 1 species